rnacentral:rRNA from 1 species
UACGAAGGGGGGCUAGCGUUGCUCGGAAUCACUGGGCGUAAAGCGCACGUAGGCGGAUUGUUAAGUCAGGGGUGAAAUCCCGAGGCUCAACCUCGGAACUGCCUUUGAUACUGCAAAUCUCGAGUCCGGAAGAGGUGAGUGGAAUUCCUAGUGUAGAGGUGAAAUUCGUAGAUAUUAGGAAGAACACCAGUGGCGAAGGCGGCUCACUGGUCCGGUACUGACGCUGAGGUGCGAAAGCAUGGGGAGCGAACAGG